rnacentral:misc_RNA from 1 species
AAGUCGUAACAAGGUUUCUGUAGGUGAACCUGCAGAAGGAUCAUUAGUGAAGAUUUGGGCAGGCCAUACGGAUUACCAAACUUGUGUGUCCCUGGCCGCCUACCCACUAUACAUCCACAAACCCGUGUGCACUGUAGAAGGACCUGGGGAGGAAGAGGACAGCGCGGUCCCACGCGCUGGGCUUGUUUCUCUCGGGUUUUUCUUCGCUAUAAACUCGAAUGGUUAGUAUGAACGUGGAACUUGGUUGGACCGUAACUGGCCAACAAACUAUACACAACUUUCGACAACGGAUCUCUUGGUUCUCC